rnacentral:rRNA from 1 species
GUCGACGAUACCUUCGGGUAUAGUGGCGCACGGGUGAGUAACACGUGGGAAUAUACCUUUCAGUGGGGGAUAACAUCGGGAAACUGAUGCUAAUACCGCAUACGCCCUUAGGGGGAAAGAUUUAUCGCUGAAAGAUUAGCCCGCGUCCGAUUAGCUAGUUGGUGAGGUAAUGGCUCACCAAGGCGACGAUCGGUAGCUGGUCUGAGAGGAUGACCAGCCACACUGGGACUGAGACACGGCCCAGACUCCUACGGGAGGCAGCAGUGGGGAAUAUUGGACAAUGGGCGCAAGCCUGAUCCAGCCAUGCCGCGUGAGUGAUGAAGGCCUUAGGGUUGUAAAGCUCUUUCGACGGGGACGAUGAUGACGGUACCCGUAGAAGAAGCCCCGGCUAACUUCGUGCCAGCAGCCGCGGUAAUACGAAGGGGGCUAGCGUUGUUCGGAAUUACUGGGCGUAAAGCGCACGCAGGCGGUUCGAUUAG